rnacentral:rRNA from 1 species
CCCUUAGAUGUUCGGGGCCGCACGCGCGCUACACUGAAGGAAUCAGCGUGCUCUUGUCCUGGUCUGGAAAGACUGGGUAACCCGUUGAACCUCCUUCGUGCUAGGGAUUGGGGCUUGCAAUUAUUCCCCAUGAACGAGGAAUUCCCAGUAAGCGCAAGUCAUCAGCUUGUGUUGAUUACGUCCCUGCCCUUUGUACACACCGCCCGUCGCACCUACCGAUUGAAUGGUCCGGUGAGGCCUCGGGAUUGUGGCCAGUUUCCUUUAUUGGGAGUUGGCUGCGAGAACUUGUCCAAACCUUAUCAUUUAGAGGAAGGUGAAGUCGUAACA